rnacentral:rRNA from 1 species
CCUACGGGUGGCAGCAGUGGGGGAUAUUGCACAAUGGGGGAAACCCUGAUGCAGCGACGCCGCGUGGGUGAAGAAGCGCCUCGGCGCGUAAAGCCCUGUCAGCAGGGAAGAAAAUGACGGUACCUGAAGAAGAAGCCCCGGCUAACUACGUGCCAGCAGCCGCGGCAAUACGUAGGGGGCAAGCGUGAGCCGGAUUUACUGGGUGUAAAGGGGGCGCAGAUGGCGGUGCAAGCCAGGAGUGAAAGCCCGGGGCCGAACCCCGGGACUGCCCUUGGAACUGCGUUGCUAGAGUGCAGGAGGGGCAGGCGGAAUUCCUGGUGUAGCGGUGAAAUGCGUAGAUAUCAGGAGGAACACCGGUGGUGAAGGCGACCUGCUGGACUGCAACUGACGUUGAGGCCCGAAAGCGUGGGGAGCGAACAGGAUUAGAUACCCGAGUAGUC